AGACACUGUUGCAUUCAUUCACACAGCAUCCUUUGAAUAAAGUUGAUCCAAGGACCGUGGUCUCCAGUUCAGGGACGUGCACAUGGCUGCAGAAAGAUCUCCGAGAACGGUCCAAAGAAAUCCAGCAGUGUCAGAGGUCAUCUAUAAUUGAGGACAAAUUAGCAAGAGUCCAGAGGCUGAGCAUGGCUUUGAUCAGGGUGUCCAGCCUUUCUCAGUGCAAACCAUUCUGUGGAGAAAGGUAGGAGUCAUAUCAGUGAAUUGGUUGCCUUCCUAAAGGUUAUCAAGACCCCCUUUUCUCUUCCUCUGCUGCCUCCCCCACCUUACUCUCUUUGGGAGCACUUCUAUAUUUCUGCAGCAGUUUGACUUUGGCAGGAAUUGUAUUCAGGUAUAAUGCUAAGCCUUAAACCUGUUCAUCUUUGUUUGUACUCAAUUAGCCUGAUUUUACUCUGAGAUUCAUGCAUGUGUUUUCAUCUCUGACCACCUUUAUCAAAUCUUUUAAAAUAUAUAUAUAUAGCAUAUUUUU